GAAAUUCAAGUCCAAGACUCUGCAAAGACUUAAUCUCACUCGUCUCGUCGCGUGAUCUUUUUAUCUCGUCUCUCUUCGUCGUUUUCACUUCCUCCUCCGUCGCUCAUCUCCCAAAUGUCCAUCCCUCUCCUUUUUCCCCUCGUUUACUGCUCACCCCCUUCCCAAUGGGGGCCUAUCCAAGAUUUGUUAUCUUUUCUUUUUCUAAUCAUUUCUCGAUUUUUUCCUUUGUAUACUUUCUAAUUUGUUUUUUUGAACAUUCGGAAUCAUAGCUUAGUUGCUUGUCAAAUUCUUGGGCUUUUUGUUCCGUGGAAAAUGGAACUUUUCAUGUAUUCGGUGUGUUUUUCUUUUUCUUUUUUUUUUUUAAGAUCACAGGAGGGGACGUGGACGGUCCGGUAAGCGUUGCAAAUUUUGCUGUUCUGGAUCGGUCUGAAUUAGAGAAACGGGAUGAGGUCUAAUCUUUUGGUACAAAGAUGGAUUCUUUUGCCCUUCAUUGUCUUUUGGUAAAAUCAAAGGCGAACUUUUUCUUGCGUUAGAUUUCAGUUCAUGCUAUAAGUAACGGAAGGGGAAAGGCAAAACCUGGACUAAGAGAUAUUGGGUUUUGUAGACUAAAGAGAAGUUUAGGGAACGUGUGGGAAGGGGAGCACUUUUUCAUAGACAAAGGGAAGAAAGAACAGUCAUUUUACAUUGCCGUUAGAAUCUAGCCGAUCUGCUCUUGGGUUUUCCCUUUUCCCCACCUCCUUUCAACUGAUUGGCAGCACUCUUCUGGUUUAACAGAACCUCAUUUGGACUGUGAUAUCUCAUAGCGACACUAGUACUGAUUUAAUGAAUGUUGGAUCACAGAAAAAACCCGGUUAGAAGAAUCGUCUUCUUUAAAACCCGAACUCAUCUCAUCCUAUGUACUUAAUGGUGCUUGUUCAGAGCCGGAUAGCUGAUGAUUAUACUGAUUAUGAAAAUCUUUUCCAAGAUUACUAGAAGCUAAUGCCUCGUAUGGUUCUAAUACCUUACUCUGUUAUCUUAGUCAUUCGGUUGUGAGAACUCUUUUUUUUAUGAUCCGUAUUUCUCUUGGUCACAUACAUUAUGAUGGUUGAUGAAUUUGAGCAGUAGUAACAGAAUUUCUUGUCUUCUUAUUUGCUGUUCGUGCAAUCAAGAUAGAUAUUACUCUCCAUUUGAUGUGCUGCUCAUUAACUGUGACAUGUUGGCGUGCCAUUCACACUGGAUUCCUGCUUUGAUUUCCUUGCUUUAGAGCAUCAUCUGUGUCUAUCAUUAUAACUUUGCUCUUUCGUUAUAUCUUUUCUAGUCGUUUUAAAUGGUAUAUUGAGCAGCAAAUUCAUGUUAUGUGGAUUGCUUUUAUUGAAUCAGUUUACAUUUGUGACCAUGCAACAAGUAUGGCACCUUUGUUGUGAUCACACACAAAAGUAAGAGGGGAAGCACUUGCUGGUGAUCACACACAAAAUAUCGAUCCAAAGAUGUGAAUGCAAAUUUGUAUUAUGAUUUCUAAGAACUUCUAAUACUGAAUUUUUUUUUGCCCCGAUAUCUAUCAUUUUUCAGAAAGAAAACAUGAAUCACCUUGUUGAUGCUGUUCUCAUGCAUGGAUUUCUAAGGCCAUGGGGUUUUAUCAUAUUCUACAUGUUCUUUAGCUGCAUGGUAUAUUUGUCAAUGCCUGCAUGGGAGUGUGAUUUUACAUGCUGUAUGAAAUUGUGGGGACUUCUGUGAGCAUCCAUCAAUUUUUCUGAAAUUUUUGACUUUUGUUAGAUUCCACAUCGAGUCUGGCAAUAUUUUUAAACUAUUUUGCACUUCUUUAAUUUUCAAAUAUGUAUGUAUGCAGAUAUUUCUCUUGUAAAAUGCUGAAUUAUGAAAUAUCACUCUCUGAAUCAAACUCUAUUUCUGAUUUUUUGACUAUGCUUACAGGUUUUACAUCUCUUCCUUAAUUAGGGGGGUGAUUAUCAACUUCUUAGCUCCCUUGCUAUCUUAUGAAAUACAUGUAGGACUUCUGUGGCCUAAAGCUAUAAGUCUUAGGUUAAUUGCGAUAAAUUGCUUUCUACUUUUCAGAUCCUUCAUUAGUUUUAGACCAUGGACAGUUCAUCAUAUAAACCAUAUUCAACAAAUUUUAUGUGAAAAUUUCUCAGUCUGUUCUUCACUGGAGGUUGUCAUCAGUAGAAUACUGUGCUAUAUUAUGCAGAUUAGAGCGUCGAUUGCAAGCAAGGGUUUCACGUUUUAUAAUUCUGUGCCCAUCCUGUUGCUGUGCUGCAGUUUAUGAUGUUUUAGCUGCCAGAUUAGUAGCAUGGAUCUCAUGUUGUCAUUUGUUCCAUCACAGAAACAUCACUUCUGCAGAAGUGCGUGUACUUUAUGAUGUCUUAUAUUUGAAUGCGGCAAUGAUUUUUAGAAUUUCUUGGGGCCAACUACAUUAGACUUCAUGAUGUUUUCAAAGUUACUACAUCAUUUUUGGAGGAAUAAAUAUUUUCAUAAAAAAAUUAUGCAUGUGCCAUAGUAGAAGACUUUUAUUAUCUGUUUUGAUUGCUUUUAAAUGUAUCUGGUGGUUCAGCAUGCUGGCAGCAGUUAUGAAUGCAAUUCUUCUGCAAGCAGUGAUCAAAAGCAUUGGCGUCCCUACAUGCUUCCAAACUGCAUUUCUUGUGUCAGAAGUUGCAUAGCCAUAUUUAAGAAGAAUGGCCAUCAGGCAUUUGGAGAAUGGAAGAGUUGUUAUAUUUGCUGCUGGAAAUGGCAACCACUUCUUCAUAACAGAUACUGCCAUUGCUCUCUGUUGUGCAUAGAGUCAUUUCUCUGUUGUGUGGCUUAUAGCUUCUCCUAGUAAGAAUAGCAUGAUGACAAGUUGCACUUUUCCGAAGUACAUCCAGAUUCAUGACAAUUUGUUAAUUCAAUCGAUUUCUAAUAUUGCAGUGUUUUCUGGCCCACAUGAUAUCUCAACAUCUUUUAGAAAGUAUGGCCCUAAACCCAGCGAAAUGGAGGCAAAGGAUUUAUAUAACCAACCCCAACUAGUAUGGGACUAAGGCUUAGUUGAAUUGAGUUGUACGUUUAAUGUUAGAUUUCUUUGAGUCAAAUCAGUUGACAAAAUAAGGAUGAAAGUAUUUUAGGGAAUUAGUUCGUGUAAGUAUUUAAUUAAACUAUAGGAGGUAAGAACUUGUGAUUUUGGUAAUGUUCCAUCAAAGAAAUGUACAAAUGAUUCAGUAAUAUGCAUCAACAGCUGCAUGAUGGACAUCACUGACCACACAUAAACAUAUGUAAUGACCAAAUUUAUUAUUCACCUGCUUGCUUUACAGAAUGCUUGCUUAGCAUGCAAAUGAUUCAGUAAUGUGCCAGGAGCUGCAUGAUGGACAUCACUGGCCACACAUAAAUAUAUGUAAUGACCAAAUUUAUUAUUCACCUGCUUGCUUUACAGAAUGCAUGCUUAGCAUGCAAUCUUUUAUGGCAAUUUCUUCGGACUCAGUGUUAUACACUACAUACAGUUAUUUCAGAGGUUGUGCAUAAAGCAACAAAUAUUGAUGGUGUAUAUGAUGACAACUCCAAGCUUAACCCGAAUUUUCUAAGUACUUAUUUGUGUAACUUCUAUAAAGUGUACAGACUAUGCUUACCAAGUUUAUUCAUGCAGUUGUUGUGUUUAACUGGAACAAACCUGGAAAUAUUGCAAAAGCUAUCCUUGGUGAGAAGGUUGGCAGUUUGGCGUAAAUCCAAAUCAGGUGCAACAUUAUGAAGGGAGCCUGACAAAGCAUGAGUUGAAAACAGUGAGCGUGCAUGUGGCGCAUGGGAGUAAGUGAAUAUCCAACAUGUCAGCAUUUAGCAGUGACACCAAGUUCUUAUUUCUUUUCACAAUGCUCUCUGACUGCCUUAUUCUUGGAAGAUGUUGAUGAUGUAUCUUAUUUGAUGCAGUGAAUAAACAACCUGUCAGCAUUUAGCAGUGA